CCUACGGGAGACAGCAGUGAGGAAUAUUGGUCAAUGGACGAGAGUCUGAACCAGCCAAGUAGCGUGAAGGAUGACUGCCCUAUGGGUUGUAAACUUCUUUUAUAAAGGAAUAAAACGAGGCACGUGUGCCUUUUUGCAUGUACUUUAUGAAUAAGGAUCGGCGAACUCCGUGCCAGCAGCCGCGGUAAUACGGAGGAUCCGAGCGUUAUCCGGAUUUCUUGGGUUUAAAGGGAGCGUAGAUGGGUUGUUAAGUCAGUUGUGAAAGUUUGCGGCUCAACCGUAAAAUUGCAAUUGAUACUGGCAGUCUUGAGUACAGUUGAGGUAGGCGGAAUUCGUGGUGUAGCGGUGAAAUGCUUAGAUAUCACGAAGAACCCCGAUUGCGAAGGCAGCUUACUAAACUGUGACUGACAUUGAUGCUCGAAAGUGUGGGUAUCAAACAGGAUUAGAUACCCUUGUAGUC
rnacentral:rRNA from 1 species